rnacentral:tRNA from 1 species
CUUGAGCUGGUCGGAGGUGAGCGACUCGCCGCUCGCGCCGACGAGGAGUUCGAAGACGCCGUCGCCGUUCACGUCGACGGGCUCCAGG